rnacentral:rRNA from 1 species
ACCCGCACAAGCGGUGGAUGAUGUGGAUUUAAUUCGAUGCAACGCGAAAAACCUUACCUACCCUUGACAUGUCANGGAAGUCCGCUGAGAGGUGGAUGUGCCCGAAAGGGAACCUGAACACAGGUGCUGCAUGGCUGUCGUCAGCUCGUGUCGUGAGAUGUUGGGUUAAGUCCCGCAACGAGCGCAACCCUUGUCAUUAAUUGCCAUCAUUCAGUUGGGCACUUUAAUGAGACUGCCGGUGACAAACCGGAGGAAGGUGGGGAUGACGUCAAGUCCUCAUGGCCCUUAUGGGUAGGGCUUCACACGUCAUACAAUGGUCGGUACAGAGGGUCGCCAACCCGCGAGGGGGAGCCAAUCCCACAAAGCCGAUCGUAGUCCGGAUCGCAGUCUGCAACUCGACUGCGUGAAGUCGGAAUCGCUAGUAAUCGUGGAUCAGCAUGUCACGGUGAAUACGUUCCCGGGUCUUGUACACACCGCCCGUCACACCAUGGGAGUGGGUUCCACCAGAAGUAGGUAGUCUAACCGCAAGGGGGGCGCUUACCACGGUGGGAUUCAUGACUGGGGUGAAGUCGUAACAAGGUAGCCGUAUCGGAAGGUGCGGCUGGAUCACCUCCUU